rnacentral:rRNA from 1 species
GGUUUGAUUAUGGCUCAGAUUGAACGCUGGCAGGAUGCUUUACACAUGCAAGUCGAACGGCAGCACGGACUUCGGUCUGGUGGCGAGUGGCGAACGGGCUGAUAAUGUAUCGGAACGUGCCUAGUAGCGGGGAUAACUACGCGAAAGCGUAACUAAUGCCGCAUACGCCCUUCAGGGAAAGCGAGGGGACCUUCGGGCCUCGCACUAUUAAACGGCCGAUAUCGGAUUGGCUAGUUGGUGGGGUAACGGCUCACCGAGGCGACGAUCCGUAGCUGGUUUGAGGAGACGACCAGCCACACUGGGACUGAGACCUGGCCAGACUCCUACAGGGAAGGCGGCAGUGGGGAGCCCCGGACAAUGGAAACCUGAUUAACCAUCCGCGUGUGCGGUAAGGCCUUCGGGUUGUAAAAGCACUUUUGGCAGAAAGAAACGGCUGGGAUAAUACCCCGUGCAACUGUGACAGUACCUGCAGAAUAAAGCACCGGCUAACUACGUGCCAGCAGCCGCGGUAAUACGUAGGGUGCAAGCCCCGUUAAUCGGAAUUACUGGGCGUAAAGCGUGCGCAGGCGGUUCCGGGAAAGAAGAUGUGAAAUCCCAGAGCUUAACUUUGGAAUUCAUUUUUUAACUACCGAGCUAGAGUGUGUCAGAGGGAGGUGGAAUUUACGUGUAGCAGUGAAAUGCGUAGAUAUGCGGAGACACCGAUGUGAAGGCAGCCUCACAGGAUAACACUGACAGCUCAUGCACAGCGUGAGGCAAACAGGAUUAGAUGCCUGGUGGUCCACGCCUAAACGAUGUCAGCUAGCUGUUGAGCCCCUUUGGGCCUUGGUAGCUGGCUAACGCGUGAGAUUGACCGCCUGGGGAGUACAGUCACAAGAUUAAAACUCAAAGUUGACGGGGUCGCACAAGCGGUGGAUGAUGUGGAUUAAUUCGAUGCAGCAAGCCAUACCUACCCUUGACAUGUCUGGAAUCCGAAGAAUUUAGGAGUGCUCGCAAGAGAACCGGAACACAGGUGCCGCAUGGCUGUCGUCAGCUCGUGUCGUGAGAUGUUGGUUGAUCCCGCAACGAGCGCAACCCUUGUCAUUAGUUGCUACGAAAGGGCACUCUAAUGGGGCUUGCGGUGAUAAACCGGAGGAAGGUGGGGAUGACGUCAAGUCAUGUAGCCUGUGGUGGGAGCUUCACACGUCGCCAAUGGUCGGGACAGGGGUCGCCAACCCGCGAGGAGCCAAUCCCCAGAAACCCGGUCGUAGUCCGGAUCGCAGUCUGCAACUCGACUGCGUGAAGUCGAAAUCGCUAGUAAUCGCGGAUCAGCAUGUCGCGGUGAAUACCGUUCAGGUCUUGUACCGCCCGUCACACCAUGGGAGUGGGUUUGCAGAAGUAGUUAGCCUAACCGUAAGGAGGGCAGUUACCGGCAGGAUUCAUGACUGGGGUGAAGUCGUAACAAGGUAG